rnacentral:rRNA from 1 species
UACAGGGGGUGCAAACGUUGCUCGGAAUUAUUGGGCGUAAAGCGCGCGUAGGCGGCCGCUUAAGUCGGAUGUGAAAGCCCCUGGCUCAACUGGGGAAGUGCACCCGAAACUGAGUGGCUUGAGUACUAAAGAGGGUCGCGGAAUUCCCGGUGUAGAGGUGAAAUUCGUAGAUAUCGGGAAGGAACACCGGUGGCGAAGGCGGCGACCUGGGUAGAUACUGACGCUGAGGCGCGAAAGCGUGGGAGCA